GAAUCGAGUGCUGGCUGUUUCUUAUUUCUUAGACACUAUUUCUCUGAGUAGAGGCCACUUCCUUUAAAUUUAUUCAUGAUGUUUAACUCUUCUAGUGCUUCUGCUUGUUGUUCCUUUUGUGGGAACACAGACAUGCUUUGGAAAAUAAUUGGAUUUAUUUGUUACAUUUCAAAAUGGUUAGAAAAGGUGUCACAAUUUUGGUCUAUUCCGUGGGAACACAGACAUGCUUUAGAAAAUAAUUGGAUUGAUUUGUUACAUUUCAAAUGGUUAGAAAAGGUGUCACAAUUUUGGUGUAUUCCAAGUUCCAUAUAGUUCUAAGUGUCUUUCAUGUCAUGUGGGACAAUCGAUACUCUCUUCUUCUUGAGUCGAAAAGAUAAAAUCUAAGGUGUUGUUGAGGAGGUUUGCUAAAGAAAAUACUAAUCUCUUAUCAAUGUCAUUAGGUCUUAGGGGCACAAAAACUUACUUUUAAAAAGUCAUUAGGGUAGAACCUCAAAUAUGAAAAUCCCGUUCAUCGUAUGAGAAGAGAUUUUUGUAGAGUUUAAUUGGUUGCUCUAUCCAAUUAGAACUCUGGGAUUAUCACUGAUAAAAAAACCCUGGUAUUGUCUCCCCCUGCCCUUUAUUUUCUUUUCUUUUAUUUCUCUUUAGCACGGGCCAUAUUCUAACUUUGUGGAAACAGUAUUUAGUUUCUACUGUGAUGCACACUUUAUAUUUCCUUCUAUUUUUACCCAUCAUUAAGGCCUUCUACCUGCCCUUGGUAAAUGAAAGUAGAGAAAUUUUGCAUGGCCUUUUCCUGUUCCCCCCUCUGGUACUUCUG
rnacentral:lncRNA from 1 species